rnacentral:rRNA from 1 species
UGGGGAAUAUUGGACAAUGGGCGCAAGCCUGAUCCAGCCAUGCCGCGUGUGUGAUGAAGGCCUUAGGGUUGUAAAGCACUUUCGCCGGUGAAGAUAAUGACGGUAACCGGAGAAGAAGCCCCGGCUAACUUCGUGCCAGCAGCCGCGGUAAUACGAAGGGGGCAAGCGUUGCUCGGAAUCACUGGGCGUAAAGCGCACGUAGGCGGGUCGUUAAGUCAGGGGUGAAAUCCUGGAGCUCAACUCCAGAACUGCCUUUGAUACUGGCGACCUAGAGUUCGAGAGAGGUUGGUGGAACUCCGAGUGUAGAGGUGAAAUUCGUAGAUAUUCGGAAGAACACCAGUGGCGAAGGCGGCCAACUGGCUCGAUACUGACGCUGAGGUGCGAAAGCGUGGGGAGCAAACA